CGUGCGGGGCUGGGGAACCCCGCAGGCCGGGCGAGGGGACUCUUCACGUGGAGGGCGGGGCCCCGCAGGCUGAGGGAGGGGCCCCGAAGACCGAGGGAGGAGGCUGAGGAGACCUUGCAGACCGAGGGGAGAAGUUCCUCAAACCCCGUGCAGACCGAGGGAAGGGACCGUGGGGAGGCCGGAGGCUGCGUUCAGGGGGAGGAUCUGAAGGCAGAGAGAUUUUGUGGGCCAUACAAUGUCGAUGAGAGAGAAUCAUUGAUGGACUACCUCCUGAACACCCCCUAUUGGUGAUGGAGCGCAACCCAGGCAUGUGCCCUGACCUGGAAUUGAACCAUGACCUCCUGGUUCAUAGGUCAAUGUUCAACCAUGGAGCCACACCGGCCAGGAUGGUUCACAUUUUGAUAAGCUCUUUUUUACUUCUCUUGCUAUUACUGUGUUUUCAAUACUGAAAAACAGAAAAGAUUAAUAAAACAUUAAAGAAUGAAAUAUGAAGUAUUACACAACAUAA